GGGUGGGCUCUGGGGGCCAGGUGCGGCCUCAGCGCCGUCCCUUCCCGGGAAGCCUCCUCCCUGGGGUCCACGCCGGCUCCUGCUGGCUCCCCCAUUCCGCUGAAAUCUGAGGAAAAGGCUCUGGGAACGCAGCCAGACUCCCCCACAGCUCAGACGGCUGUAAAGAAAUAUUCCUGCCAGAUGUUCAGAGGCGGAGGCCAGCAUGAGUUACAGGCGAUGCUGCCGGAAACGUGUGUUUUCCUAUCUAGGAGUCAGUCUGUCGCAGACCGAUUCCUGGAUCGCCGAGGUCGCCCACUCUCCCCAGAAGCCUGCUCCCUCCCGACCCGACCGGUGGGAGGCCGCGUCCCCGACGCUUGCCAGGAGCCCCGCCUGCAGCCGAGGCGUCCUCCCCGCGCCGCGGGCUCCUGUGGCAACGGCCGCCUCCCGGCUGGCCUCUUUUCUGCCUUCUGCCUUCCCGUUGGCGACUGGGGAGGCCCGUGGUCAACGAGGCCCCAGCGAUCACCUGGGGGACGUCCUGUAGGGAGAGCCUGACUCACAAGGACCAGUGUUGAGCCGUCGCACCCCCGCUUGGGACCAGGAUGGGCUGCACUUUCCCCACCCGCGGCCCUGGGACCCGCCCCACCCGAAGCCCGGGGAGAUCCAACCGCAGGCUGCCUCCGGCCAGCGGACUCAUUCACACUCCGCAAACAGGCUGGGGCCAGACGCCGCCCUGCCCUAGGUGCCCAGCAAACACGCGGGCCAGCCAGACCCCUGGACCUUCACAGGGAGGAGGAGAUGGAGAUGGGUUCACCCCCCACAAAGGAGGGAGGGGAGGGGAUGGCCGCCAUGCCCAGGUGCCGGGACAGGAGCCGAGGGCCGCGUGCACCCCUUGGGCCCUUGGAGGGGCCGGCAUGUGCCUCUCUGUCCCUGUGCCACUUCCACUGGCCGUACAGGGCCACCACCGCGGAAACCGCAUGUGUAACCCCUGGAAACAGGGUCCUCCUUGAUGAGUCAUGUUCUAAGUUGGGAGGAAAAUUCACUGGAUAGUGGAGGCAGUAGAAAGAAAUAAAAAAAGUCUUUGUUCCACA
rnacentral:lncRNA from 1 species